AUAUUUCGUUUUGGUUUCAACUUUACUGCUAAUGAAGGCAAAUAAAAAAUACUUAAGAACGGAGACUUUUGCCUUUUCAAGUUCUCUAUUCUUAUUCAUGGUAUUGUAUAUAUGGACAAUUACACAAUGUUUUCAAGUCAAUCUUGAGAAACAAUGUGAACGAUAUUCCAAUUUUAAUCCUGGAUAAAUUUUAAUAUUAGGACUUGGACUUCGAUGUUAUCUGGGAAUGUGAAAAAUGGGAGGUUCUGUGAUGCUGUUGAUGUGUUUCAAGCAAUGCCUUAGAAGAAUGUGGUUUCUUAUAAGUCGAUGUUCAGUGGGUAUUUGGGGAUUGGUGAUUUUAUGAGUUCACGGAAGGUGUUUGAUGAAAUGGGUGAGAGAAAUGUUGCGUCUUGGAAUGCGAUGAUUAAUAGGUAUGUGAAAGUGGAUAGGAUGAGGGAAGCGUGUGAGUUGUUUGAUGAAAUGGCGGAGAGAAAUGAGGUGUCGUAUACAAUUAUGAUUUCGGGAUGUGUUGGGGUAAGUGAGUUUGAGGAAGUGUGGAGGUGGUUUGUGGAUAUGCGUAGGAGGGGAGUGAUGCCAGAUCAGAAGAUGUUCUUGGUGGUUUUAUCGGUGGUUAUUGGAUUGGAUAACGUAGUGACCCUUGCGAAUUUAGUGGCAUUGGCUAUGAAAAUAGGGUAUAGCGAGGAUGUUGUUGUAGGAACUAUGAUUUUGAGGGGAGGCAAGUGUUAUUGUAGGAACUGCGAGUUGGGAAUUUGGAUAUGACGUUGAAGUAUUUUGGGAAUUUUCCCGAGAAGAACGAGUACUCGUAUGUAGCAUCUUGGGCGGCAAUGAUUUCUAGGCUAAUGCAUAAUGGUCAAAGUGUGGAAUCUCUGGAGCGGCAACGAUUCUAGCUUCAAAAGUGCUCUUUGGCAUGUGCAAACAUUGGAGACGUGAGGUGGGGAGACAAAUACAUUCUCUUUCAUUCAAAACAGGGUGCCAGUAUAAUCCAUAUGUUGGGAAUGGAUUGAUAACUAUGUAUGCUAAAUGUAAGAACUUGGAAGAUGAUGUGGAGACACUUGGCUUAACAAGAUCAGAUAUAAUAUCCCCCCUCCAUUCAUGCUGGCCACUCUUAUAAUUUCAGGUUGGAGGAUGCACUGGUACCACCUGUUUAUGGGUUUGAAGAGAAUUACGAGAAGCGGACCAACAAGAUGGUGGAGGUUGUGUGAGUAUUGAGGCAAGGGUUACCAAUAUAAGAUAAGAUGAAAAUAGUAAAGAACUGCUCCGGCAACAGUUUUAAAUCUACUUGGACUGUGCCAGAAAAAAAGUAAGUUCCGUUAACAUUGUCUCUAAAUUAGAUUAGAUUAGAUUAAUUCAUUGCGUAGGAUCCAAAGGCUUGAGUCUGUUUGGUAUGAUGGAGAACAGUUUGAUAAUUUGGCUAGAUGUCGCUCCAAGUUGUAAGAAAGCUGAUGCUUGAAUGUGACACCAAGAAAGGGAAAAAUUCACUUCUUAAAGCUGGCUAUGGUGGAUGGAUUUUAUAUACUGCUGCCUCUGCUGGAGACUUGGCUUUUGUUCAUGAUCUUCUUGAAAGAAGUCCACUUCUGGUAUUUGAAAAAAGUGAAUAUGGUGUCACUGAUAUAUUAUAUGCUGCUACUAGGAGUAAAAGUUGUGAUCCUUUUAGGGUUCUGUUAGAUUUUUCUGUCACCCCGAUGUUUCUGGUGCGUGAUGGUGGAGAGAUGGAUAAACACAUUGCUGAGGUUCCAUCUGCUUAUAAAUGGGAGUUUGGGAGAUGAUGAAUAGAGCAAUUCAUGCAGCUGCUAGAGCAGGUAAUCUGCAGGUACUGAAGGAGCCUCUUGCUGACUGCUGUGAUGAUAUCUUGGUUUAUAGAGACAUUCAGGGUGCAACUCCCUUGCAUGCUGCUGCUGGCAAGGGCCAGGUUGAGGGCUGAUGAAUUUAUGACAAAGUUAGUUGAUCCUUUGCUUACCUCGUAGCAGUGUGAUACAUUUCUUUGCAAUUUGAGUAGUCUCCUUAUUCUUGGAUGGUCACAUUGUUGCUUUAGGAAACUGACUUCGUGGUACUUGUAUGUUUUUAAUUAACACUAUGCUAUUGUCGCAUAUAUAGUUUCCCAAGAUAGAACAAACUAUUUGGGCAUCUCUACAGGGUCUUUGACCAUCAAUAAUUCUCCAUUGGGCAGUUAGCUAUGGUUAAUGGUGCUGCCAGUGGGCCGGGGGAUAAAAAAUAUUGUACUGUUUUGUGCUACUCAAUAUAUACACCCUGCUACCAAGACCAGCUCCACAACAAGAGAAACAACACAAAUAGUAGGAGAGAACUACCAGUAGAUACAUAUUCAGUUAGCUUGAAGAUGGACUGUCUCUUCUGGGAAAAGCUGGAAAAAGGAUGAACGACAAUAUGUGUGACGCCUGAUGCUCGAACAAGGUAUUUUGUCAACUACAACGUCGCAUAGUUGUAGCAACAAUUAAGAACGACGACUGCAUCAAUAUUGUCAUUGAUUGUCUUACUAUAUAUCAUUCUUUUUGUAGAGACCAGCUUCUGUAAAAUCUGUACAUAUGUAAAUAUAUAGAUAACGUGAAUAUAAUGUAUAAACAAUAUAUGUUUGUUGCUAUACAAUAUAUGUCUUCUGGUAA